rnacentral:lncRNA from 1 species
UUUUGUCAAUACAGAACCACGACAGCUUUUCCAAAAUCCACAGAGCUUCUCCAAACUUGAUUGUGAUGCAAGCAAAAGCUAUGUCUAAGCACAGAUUUUACUGCCCUGUUUGCUGAUCCACAUGCAGAUACAGCUGUCUCUGUUGCAAGGAAAGCUCUUCUGAGGCCUAAUUGUGUACUGCCUCACACAGCUGUCAUAAACACUCAAGAAGAAAGGUGUAAGCUCCUUGGGAAAUUCCUGAAGAAGUAGCCCUUGAUAUGGCUGAUAGCCUCAUCCCAAGCAGGAGCAAACCUCCAGAGGUCUGCAGCCAGCUGGAACAGCCCACCUGGGAAAUAAAAGAAGAAAUGGGGCCAGCUGAAUCUUCAAUAUUUGCUCAGUCUGACUUGCAGGUAAACCACAAGCACCCAAUGUUAAGGAUGGAGGCGGCAUUCAGCAGAUAAAGAAGGGAGGUACAAGAACUCCUAUGCCUAUCCCUGACAAUCGGUCACUGAAGCAUUUAAUGGAAAUUCUGACAUCUGAGUCAAUAUAUAACUGUGAACCUUAAUAAUGAAACACACCUUGAGUUUUCAAAGUGGCUGGAAGUAUUUCAGAGGAAAGUUAAAUAGUAUUAAAGGAAACAAUCCACACUUGGCAGUCUACUGAAAUGUGAGUUUUAAGUUCCUUGCUUAUUCAAAUACUUCACUGACCCAUUUUGCAUAAAGGAACAUAGAUCUUGAUGCUCUAUCAAGCCAAAAGACAUCUCUCCAUCAUCUCUGGCUAACAUAUGAUUAUUUUACAUUCUCCAGAGACUGGGCUGUUGCUCUCUGCAAUCACUGCAGGGAGCUGAAAAAUGCACUACAUUGUUACAUUCUACACUCAGAGGCAGUGGUCCCAUUUUUGCCAAGAUGCCCAUAGAAGAAGAGAAUCAAUUUCUUUGAUUGACUUAAAAAAAUUAAUUAUGGGUGUCCGUGACCAGGACUUCCCCUGUUCUGCUACAGCACAUUUAUAGAUACUUCUUGAUAUUCAGAGUCACAGAACCAUAGAAGGUCCUGAAUUGGAUGGGAUCCACAAGGGCAUGAUGGGUGAUGGGAUCAUCAAAGCCCAGCUUCUGGCCUUACAUAAGAUGGGCCCAAGAGUCACACCAUGUGCCUGAGAGCACUGUCCAAAUGCUUCUUGUCAGGCUGGUGCUGUGACCACUGCCCUGGGGAGCUGCUUCAGUGCCCAAACAGCCUCUGGGGGAGGAACCUUUUCCUAAGGCACAACUUAAAACUCCCUUGACACAGCUUCAUGCCAUUUCUUUGAGUCCUGUCAAUGGAACACAGUAAGUUCUAGAAUGCUGUGAAUUCUCAAACACAGAGAAACAGCGAUGGGUGAAGAGACAAAAUAACCGAUUUUUAUUAUUGCAUCUCAAAUGCUCUCCUUCUGUGUUUUCCUAUAUGUCUUGCUCUUCUUUUCUCUAAU